rnacentral:rRNA from 1 species
AGCGGCGGACGGGUGAGUAACGCGUGGGUAACCUGCCUCAUACAGGGGGAUAACAGUUGGAAACGGCUGCUAAUACCGCAUAAGCGCACAGUACCGCAUGGUACCGUGUGAAAAACUCCGGUGGUAUGAGAUGGACCCGCGUCUGAUUAGCUAGUUGGUGGGGUAACGGCCUACCAAGCGACGAUCAGUAGCCGACCUGAGAGGGUGACCGGCCACAUUGGGACUGAGACACGGCCCAA